rnacentral:rRNA from 1 species
AGUGAACGCUGGCGGUAGGCCUAACACAUGCAAGUCGAACGGCAGCACAGUAAGAGCUUGCUCUUACGGGUGGCGAGUGGCGGACGGGUGAGGAAUACAUCGGAAUCUACUUUUUCGUGGGGGAUAACGUAGGGAAACUUACGCUAAUACCGCAUACGACCUACGGGUGAAAGCAGGGGAUCUUCGGACCUUGCGCGAUUGAAUGAGCCGAUGUCGGAUUAGCUAGUUGGCGGGGUAAAGGCCCACCAAGGCGACGAUCCGUAUCUGGUCUGAGAGGAUGAUCAGCCACACUGGAACUGAGACACGGUCCAGACUCCUACGGGAGGCAGCAGUGGGGAAUAUUGGACAAAGGGCGCAAGCCUGAUCCAGCCAUACCGCGUGGGUGAAGAAGGCCUUCGGGUUGUAAAGCCCUUUUGUUGGGAAAGAAAAGCAGCAGGUUAAUACCCCGCUGUUCUGACGGUACCCAAAGAAUAAGCACCGGCUAACUUCGUG